UUUAAUUAAACGAUAUGGACCUUUAAUUGGAGGCUAAGUGUUAUAUCUGCUAUUGUAAAACCUGCGUUAAUGAAAAAUGGUAUAGAUAAGCCAUUUCUGAUAGUUCGAUAGCAUAAAUAAGUCAAACUAUUGACUAAUGAGAUAAAUAAGAUAUUUCUAAUAGUUGAAUGCAUAUAUUUGAGCCUUUUCGUUUAAUUUAUUACCCGGUAUCUCUUCUCCAUAUGUGGCAUUUAUUCUUGCACUCUGCUCUACGUGGCAAUCACUCUUGCACCCGUCUCUGUAUCAAAACCCCGAACACAGAUAUGACACAAUGCAUCUCACAACCUUCGCACUGUUCACAAUGCUCUUGAUAAACUAAAUCCAUCAUCAGCUUCACGUUUCUCCAUUUCUGUAAACAUCAAAUUCUCUUCUUUCUCACACUCUUCCAUAUAUGACCUUUUCAACUCCCAUGGCGUCCCUGUGGUUUUUCUACCCAAGGGAAUUAUCAAAUUUUUAAUGGAUGCUGCAUCAAGCCGCUUCGGGGUACAUCUGCUGCCGCCGUGAAGAAGAGUAAUUGUGCCACUAGGAUCGACAUUGCUGAUUCAAUAGCAGAGGGUAUUUUAGUCCUUUCAUCUUUCUAUGCCCUAUUUUCCUGUUAAUACACGUGUUUCUGCUUCAGUUUUCUAUUUCUCCUUCAGCUUUGCUUCUUCCUGGGUUUGACUAAGUUUGUAUUUGUUCAUCUGCUGGGUUCAUGAAGUUUGGAUCUUUUUUGUGAAGAUAUGAGUCAAAAAGGGAUUGCCGUAAGAAAAGGCGAAAAAAAGAUAAGGAGUCUUUUUUUCUUCUUUGAUUUAGAUCUCUAAAUCAAUCCCUGCUUUUGAAUUGGUUAGUCAUUUUCUCAAAUAUUCCUCCAAUUUUGAAGCCCAAGUUGUUUUAGGAGUUGAUAUUGUAUCCCUCAUCUUCUUUUCUUUUGUGCUAAAAAAACCCAUCGAUUCAAUUCAAUGGCCAACAACAAUCUUCCUCGAAGAAUUAUUUAAGGUGAUUUUGUGUUUCAGCAUUUUCUCAGCGAACCUGAUAAAUACAUCUAUGCGGAAAUCAUGUACGUAUUAGUUUUCUUCUUUAAUACUAGAAGAGAAAUUAUUGAGUAUUGGAAUGAAAUGGCCCCAAAUAUAGGUGAAGAAAAAGCCAAUUUAUGCAAUUCAAAUUGAAGCAUUGAAGUUAUCUUCAUUAACUACAUGAACCUAUUUCUCUUUACCUUUCACCAAAGAUGCGUUUUUGUGCUUUUUUCCCUUGAAUUUCGGCAAGCAUGGUUGACAUGAUUUAAUUUGUUGAUUUUGGUAUGAGCAAGUGUUCUGCCCCUUGAAGCUUUUCGUGAAUUUCUUCAUUCGAUUGUGUUUUUGAUUUGGUUGCAACCUAUAUUGCUAACAGAGGUUUAAAAGUUUUUUGUGUGGUUUAACUUUGACUGCAGCACCAGGAUAAGCGCUUCUCCAUCAAAAGAAAACAUGCGAUAUUUUAAUGUCACGAUUCUUGGUGCAACACAGUCUCCUAUUAAGGGAAUUUCCUCAAUCAAUGUGUUAAGCAAAUGAAAGUUCAUGCUGCUAUUGUAGCGUGAAGAUGUGUUCCAGCCAAAGCAUCAUCAUCAAUUACCUUAUUUUUUGAAUUUAUAACUUCCCAGUUCUGCCCAUUAUUUUGUGAAUUUAUAACUUCCCAGUUCUGCCACUAUUUCCCCCUUUCUUUUGUGAAUUUAUGUAGAUAACGAGUGUGUGAAAAAACCUAUAAGUAUUUUAAUGCCACUAAAAUGAAAAUAUGAGAUGCAUCUAAACUAUAACUGUAUACGGUAAAAAUUGGAUAAAUGCUAGACCGGUGAGACUGGUGAUCGAGGGAAGAAAGAAACAAGUACGAGCAUGAAGAUUCUUUUGGGACCGGAGGAGAGCUUGAUCCGAAGAAAGUGAAGGACAUCGUUUGGUCCGGUUUCUCCAUAGCCGAGCUGAUCGUGGCUGUUGGCCCGGUUGAUCGUGGUUGUUGGCCCGGUUGAUCGUGGCUGUUGGUCCGGUUGAUCAUGGCCGUUGGUCCGGAUGAUCUGUUACACAAAUGCCACGCGUCAAGACCGUUCUGCCACCUUGUACCGUCAAUCGUACAGGUGUCAGACCGUACGACCAAUCUUAUCCAUUUUAGGGUUUUUCUUUAUUCUUUAGGGCCUUAUGUUGUAUGAAGCCCAUGAGGCAAAACUAUAAAUAGGGGUCAUUACCCUACUUUUAGGAGUUAGCUUUUUCAUUUCCAGAACAUUUGUAAUAGCAAUAAUAUAUAAAUCUCUCUCUCAACAUCUGAUUUUGGUCUGUAUUAUUGUAUUCAUCUUUAGAUUUGUUCAAUCAAACAAUAUUCAAUAUAUUGGCAUA